rnacentral:tRNA from 1 species
GGGGUUGUGGCUCAGUGGCAGAGUGCUCACCUCACGCGUGCGAGACCCUGGGUUUGAUCCUCAGCACCACA